rnacentral:rRNA from 1 species
UACGGAGGAUCCAAGCGUUAUCCGGAAUCAUUGGGUUUAAAGGGUCCGUAGGCGGUUUUUUAAGUCAGAGGUGAAAUCCUGCAGCUCAACUGUAGCAUUGCCUUUGAUACUGAAAGACUUGAGUUAUUGUGAAGUAAUUAGAAUGUGUAGUGUAGCGGUGAAAUGCAUAGAUAUUACACAGAAUACCGAUUGCGAAGGCAGAUUACUAACAAUAUACUGACGCUGAGGGACGAAAGCGU